rnacentral:rRNA from 1 species
UCUGACCGUGCAAAGGUAGCAUAAUCAUUUGCCUUAUAAUUGAAGGCUAGUAUGAAUGGUUUGACAAGAAUGAAGCUGUCUCUUUAUAAUUUAAUAGAAUUUUAUCUUUAGGUGAAGAAGCCUAUGUAAAAUUAAAAGACAAGAAGACCCUAUCGAGCUUAAAAAAAAUUAAUAGAAUUAAGUUAAUUAAUAUUCAUAAAAAAUUGUCUAUUAAAUAUUUUAGUUGGGGCGACUGAGGAACAUGAAAAGCUUCCUUUAAAAUAAAAUUAACUAAAAUCAAACUAGAAUUGAUCCAAAAUUAUUUUGAUUAAAGAAAUUAGUUACCGUAGGGAUAACAGCAUUAUCUUUUUUAAGAGCUCAUAUCGAAAAAAAGGUUUGUGACUCGAUGUUGGACCAAGAAUAU